UACAACUUUCAACAACGGAUCUCUUGGCUCUCGCAUCGAUGAAGAACGCAGCGAAAUGCGAUAAGUAAUGUGAAUUGCAGAAUUCAGUGAAUCAUCGAAUCUUUGAACGCACCUUGCGCCCUUUGGUAUUCCGAAGGGCAUGCCUGUUUGAGUGU
rnacentral:rRNA from 1 species